AUCCAAAAACUCCAAAUGUCCACCAGCUCCAGUCACAUUGGAGAUACAGGUGUGGUUUGCUCCUAAGACCCACCCAGCACACGUGAGAUGGGGAGACCUGGAUUGCAUCCCCAUGUCUGUCCCAGUGGAGAUAUCAUUGGAAAAGCUGCAGUGAUCUCUAUAAAAAUCUCAACCACCCGCUCCCGGUAGGUUCAGCGCUGCACUCUAAGAGGAGAAUGGGUCUGACUCCUCAAGGAGAUGCCUCUGGUCCAGGCUUUGUAAACUUGGGCCUUCCAGCCAGAUUCCUCCAAGCUCAGUGUCCGCUGCUGCUGGGCUGAGGGGAACCCCACUCCUUCACCACCGACUCCUGCUCCUGGCUGCACCUGCCCUUCCAACAGUGUCUCCUCUCAAGAAAGGGAGAAUCCUCCAGCCUUCUGUGCCUGCAUGCUGAGAACCCAUAGAGAGGAGCAUCCCUGGAGAAUCCCAGCUUGCAGCCAUCUUCCCUCAAGCGCAUUUCCAGUGUCCAGCCUGGCUUUCUGAUCAUUUUUGCUUUAGGAAGGCCUCCGACCAUGGCACUCUGGUAAAACCAUGUCCCAGCCCCCGGUCUCCCUAGCAACGCCGACUCUCACCCCAGAUGGUUCCUGCCAGGAUGGGAGGGUGGAGCUCACAGAGUUUGAAGGAGUGCCACCUUCACAUGGCACAAGUGUCUUUACAGAACACAUGAGGCAGAAAACAGAUGUCCACAAAUCUGGGCAGAUGGACACAUGCCGACAGCAUGGCAAGGUCCCCUCCUUUGCCCCGGCCCAUCACUUCCUCCCAUGUGUAGGAGCAGGUCCACCCAAAACAGCGUGAAGGUGUCAAGCCAGUGGCUCCUCUUCUGGGGAGGGAGUGAGGAAGGAAGAGCAGGAGACAGGCAGAAGAACUCACUGGGCGGUUGGCGACCUGCAGGGAGACAGAGAAGGACACGCCAGAGCCCAGGGAGAGCACUAACCACCACUGACAGUUUCCCAUUUCAUAUAUUUUUUCCGAGGCCACGAAGAGGAGGAGCCUGUCACAAAGCACCAGUGGGAACUCACUGCCCCCGACACCUCCUGACGCAUCAGCUGGUGAGCACCAGAAGCCGGCCCAGUGCCCACAGCCAAGCCCACGUGGUGUGGCCCACAGCACCUUCACAGGAAGGGCCUGAGGGUUGGCUGCAGUCAUUUUUUUUUUUUUUCAAACUGGAGGGGAACGUUUUUCCUUGGUAAACCCCCAGCGCUGAAGUCACUCAGGUGAGCCUCGGUGAAGAAGCCUCAGACGCUCAGCAAGGCCCAGGGAGGAUGAGCUCAUCUCUGGAGGCCAAGCUCACAUGCCCCAGACUGCAGCAACAUGCCCUCCCGCCCACGCCUGCUCCCUUGCCAGGGUGUGUCCUGCCCUCAGCGGGCCACUGGCCCCCAAAUCCACCACAGAAGGCCAACAGGACAGGGGAGUCCCAGUGACAUGCCACUGCCUCCCCCUACCCAGGAGGCUUGCUUUAGGUUCCCCUGCUGCCCUGGGCCCACGUUAAAUCAGCUGUUCCAUGCAAAGACUUGCAGAGCCAAGAGGAGAGGUGCAGGCGAGUUGUUAGGAGCAUGGGUUUCACAACGGUGUGGUCUCACUGCUGCCCCUGGCCACUGCCUGUGCCUUCCGGGCAGCGACUGCACCUCCUCCUCAGUUAACAAGCACAGUGGCGGAUGCCCAUGCCAUGGGUUCCGUGCAUGGCGGUCACCAUCACCACACGGAGUCCAAGAGCAAGAACUCUGCCAAGACACUGUUAUUAUCAAAAGCAAAUGGUUUGGGUAAUGCAAAAUCCAAAACGAUCCUGAAGUUUAUAUUUUGGUUAGGAAUGCAAUGGCCAGAGAAUUGAAGCCACAUGAAGGUGCCAUGAGCGUGCUGCCUGGCCCAUCUCAGGGGGCACCCAGCUGCCAAGAGCUGUGCCGCAGCUGGUCUCGCCUCUGUCUAGGGGGGCAGAGCCUGACGGGAACGCCCCAUUGUGCCUCAGAAUGAAAGUUCAGUGGUCUGCAGAGAGGAGAGGAAAGGGGAAGCUGAAUGUCCCGUGGAAAAGUGGCACAGAGGCCUGGCUGGGUGAACCAGGGCCCGGGACGGGAAUGGCCAUUGGUGUGUCAGCUGCUCACCUGGGCUUGGGUGUCCAGGUCCUGAGCUCACUCCUGGUGAUACACCCUCUGCAGCCCAGGUGGCAGAGGGGACAAGGAGCGCCUGCUACCUGAGGCCUCUGCUUGGGAAGUUCCUGUCAGGAGAGGCAGGCAGGGCGUGGGCAGCGACAGCUGGGGCCGGCAGGUGAGGACACGUAGUUGGGAGGGGUGCAGCCGGCAGCACCUGGGAAUGCAGCACUGUGCUCUUCCUGGGGGCUGUGGCCUCACAGAGGCUCCCAGGCUACACUGGAGGAGGCUCUGCUCCAUGGUGUACACACCCCAGGUAUCACGGGGGCCCUCCCAGGACCAACCCAGCCGGUGGUCAGGGGUCCUUGCUCUCUGCCGGGCACACUGCGGCCUCUGGGUGUUUUCAGAACGGCAAUCACAUUCUCAAGCUUAACUGUCUCUAUGGCACCGCAAAUGGCAGGGCUGCUCCCCACUCCCUGGAGGAAGUGAGCCUGACCCCCAGUUCUCGCCAGUGAGCUUGGCAGAGGCACCACAGGCUCUUGGGUCCCCUCAUACAAGCUUUGUCAGGGGGCCGGACGUCCACCUGCAGGCCCAGCCCUUCCUCAUCACAACAGAGAGCCCACCACAGGGGACAGCCACAACUUAGCCCCGUGGUUCUGCCCCCAGCAGACAUGUGGUGAUGUCUGGAGACAUUCUAGUUGGCACAAGUUGGGGGGAAGCUCCUGGUAUCUAGACAGCAGAGGCCGGGGCACCGAUAGCUCUCCACAUGCAGACGCCCCACAGCAAAGAAAUGUCCAGCGCAGAACGUCAGCAGUGCUGAGGGUAAGAACCCGGCCUCACACGCACGUUUCCAGUGGGCUGGAAGGUGGCUCCUACAGUCAGGCUGUUCAAAGGUCUGAACCUCACGCGCGAUCUCGACAUUAGAACAUGGGCUGUGACCGGAGAAGCAGCCUGCGGGGGUGGGCCAGGAAGGGGCGCCACCCUGAAGGCUCAGUCUGUGUGGCAACGACACUCACAGACAAGCCCUGCGUACCCUGACCGUAGACUGGUGUGUGCACCAAGCAUGCCAGGGACCCCAGGUCACACGCCCCUGGGGGAUAGGAGAGGUGGUGUCUGUCCCCUGGUCCCUCAGCCAAGUCAGCCGAUGUCCCCAGCUGGGAUGUCUGCGGAAGCUGUGGUCCCGAUGCCACACACGCCAAGGCAGGCAUCACGCUCUGGGCGCCGGGGGACCCUGCGUGCUUGGGUGCAUUGCACACCCAGGUCACCAGGGACACGGUGACAUGCCGCUGUGAGCCCUCAAGAAGGCCUCAUCUCCAUACAGCGCUGCGGCCAGCUGGUGACAGGUCUCAAAGGGAGGGAGCAACCCUACAUCUCUGCUUCCAAAGUCCGGUAGGUGUGCCCUUCCCCUAAACUCAGCAGAUCGGAUCUACCUCCCCUCUCCCAACAAGGAGGGUCUCCUCCCCAUCCUCCCUCAUCAGCGACUGUGCCCCUGCCUCCUGCUUGGGGAAGAGCUUCUCUCUGCUGCCAACCUGGAGCCUGGCCCUUCCCUCCUUCCUGGCUGGAAGCUGCUUUCAGCUCCUGGCCUUCCUGAUGGGCGUCGGCUCCACAUUCCUCACGUCCUCUCCCCCUGUGCAGAGCAUGUGUGGGGACAGGCAGCUGGAUGAAGCACCUCAGAGAUCCACUGCCCAAGGCUGCCCGGUAGACCUGUCCCUGGGAGGGAAGCAGCCCAGCCCCGCUGAUAGAACCUGCAUUUCAAACAGACCCAGGGCUGCAGCACACAACACGUUUCCAGUGGAGAAGCCCUUUGCAGAGUUCAGAGCUCUCGCAGGCCUCGUGUUCAACUCCUCGUCUUGCCACCUGCUUUUGUUAUGCAAGAAACUGAGGCAGAAAGCAGGGAAGCAACACAGCUGGGUAGGGCCCAGCAGAGUCUCACCCCAAGCUCCCCAGCUGCUCACCCACAGUGCUCUGGGCCCCUCCCACUUCCACAACUGCGACCUUGUCUUUGACCUUGAACUUCUGUCUCCUCCUCCCAAAAUGCCUGUGACCAACUGGGCUGCCUUUGAUGAGCUGCUCCGAGGAACAGCAGCCACUUGCCCACUGGCCCCCAGCCCUCCCUGAAGGGUGGCAGCUGAUGCCUGUGUGCCUGAAGGCAGCUCCUGCCCCCAGUAUCCACAAGGAGGGACAAACUCUCACAUGGACAGUGAGGGUGUGACAGGCCCUGAAGAACAGGUUCUGUGUCCACUUUAGAUGCUGGAACUACACUUAAAGAGCGACCAGCUUUUACAGAUACAAAAAUAAACAUGUUUGCCUUUGCUUGUUAUUGCCAAGGAAGCCAUCUUCCCCUGCUUUGACACCUCAACUGUGAAUGCAUUUCCCAUAACAUCUGAAAAUGUACACUAAAAAUCAAGUCACACUUUAAGGUAGUGUUUUUGGCCAAUUUGUUCUGAGAACAAAUACAAAACUGCAUAAAAAUAGCUUCCACAGGGAAAAAAGGUGCAAGUCCAACAGACACCCUUUCCAGUCACCUAGACAUCACCUGGGUGUUGAAAACCACCUUGAGCCCAAAUCCACCUGCACCAUUGAUUCUCUCGUGUCAGGUGCAUCCACGGGGCUUAUCAAAGCUCUGUUUUAUUCUUUUAAAAAUGACAACUUACUAUUUUGGGCAGGACAAAUGUUCCCAGAGAACUUUUAAAUCUGAUGUUAUAGUUUUAUUUCUUAGUUCUAGGUACAGGGCUAGAUGUUUGGCUGAAGCUGCGUGUGCCACAACACUGCAGGCCCCACACCACGCAGCCAGACGCCCCUCCCAGUCCUCCUUCCUCCUGACGUGGCUCCCAGUGGAAUGAGAUGGCUGGGGUCUCAUGAGGGGCCAGCUGCGUGGGCCGUCCAUUCUCUACCAUGGCAUGCCGACAACAGGGUCACAGAGAAGUCCCCCUUUCAAACCAAGAUUUGAGCUGAAGAGUCAGGUUCCUGGUCGCAGGGCUCCGUCAUCUGCAGGAAAAUUAGUGAAGAAGUGGAGGGCCUUGCAAUGUGAAAGGGUGGGAGAGAGAAAGCCAGAGAGACUUCUGCAAAACAAGCUGCAGAUGGGCAUGGAGAAGAGCAAAGCCGCAUACAGGCAUAGUGGAAAAGUACGCUGACCUUCUCAGUGGCUCUAAAACAACAAGCGAAAGACAACCACCAGCAUCCGUCUUCUUCCUUUCCAGCCAGACAACUCUCCCUGGCCCUAAUGGGUUUCAGGCAGAGAUGGUUUCCUGAGGGCAGCACCAGUCAGAAUGGGUGGAGCAGGCCCCAGAGCUUCUAAUGGUCCCAGCUGAGUCCCCCAAGGCUCAGCACGUGAUCCUGCCGGUCAUACACACAGCCCCAGCUCGAGCACUGUGCGGCCACUCUCUCUCCAAGUACUCUCUGCCCGGGAGCCCACUUCAUCCUGCUUCAUCAGUCUCUGAAGCUGAGAGAACACCCUUGUUUGUUUCUGCAGACAUUCCUUUGCUUCAGCACUCACCGCUCCCCAGACCACAAAGGUGUAUGGACUUAGCAAAACCAGUCAUAAUGAUUUUUCUAUAUCAAAACCAGCCCUAACAAUUUUUAUACAACUUUUAAAUAAAAACAGUGGAAAAUACAAUAAAUAAGUCCUCUAAAUAAAGCUGUGGUAUGAAGUUUAAAUGCCCCAAGUCAGAAGUCAAUUGGAUGUCUCUGUCUGAGCUGAGAGCACAUGACAUACAACGAAACCACAUGGACAGACACAACCCCGAAUGCCAAUUCCAGUGUCCUGUGCAGUGAUGACCACACUGUUAGAAGCAUUUUAACUCUUGUUUUUACAAACUUUCUUUUUACAUAUAUGUUAGCGGUCAAAGAACUCUGUUUUUCUUGGUCCAAACCAGAGGAAAUUUAUUGUCCAAACCAGACCCACCCCAAUGCAUUUGCCUCUGAUGUGAGAAAGAAACACUAGGGCUUCAACCAGAUGAGGGGCAUUUAGGAAAACCCACAGCUAAAGUCACAUUCAAUGCGGAACACUGGGCACCUCCCCCUAAGGUCAGGAACAAGACGAGGGUGUCCGCUCUUAUUCCUUUCAGCCUCGGCACUGAUGGUCCUAGGGCAACUCUAUGUUGACGCCUCUGAGGAACUGCCGGGCUGCAGUGAAUCCAGGUGACCUCACAGAAACUUGUAUGUGAGCAUUCGCAGCGGCAUCAUUCACAGUGGCCAGGAGGUGGAAACAACCCCGAUGUCCAUCAACUGAUGAACCAACCGAUGAACACAGGGUGACCUGUCCAUACAGUGGGGUCUCAGCCACAGAGGGAGCAAGGCCGUGAAACCCCCAGCGAGAGCGAGGCGCGGAAACCCGCAGCGGGAGCGAGGCGCGGAAACAGGCCAUGACACGGAUGAGCCACACCAUGGAUGACCCCACGGACACGCCACCAAAGCACCAUCAUGCUGAGUGACAGAAGCCAGGCACCCAGACCAUGCACUGUAUGAUUCCUUUCACGUGAAAUUUCCAGAACAGGGAAAUCCAGAGCGACAGAAAGCAGGUUAGAGGUUCCAGGGGCUGGGGGUUGGGGGAAUGGGGAGAGACUACUUAACAGGCAGAGACUUGUUUUUGGGGUGGUGAAAAUGUUCUAAACGGACUAUGGCUGCACAGCUCUGUGAACACACUAAAAACAUUGGCUUGGACAACUUAAAUGGUCGGAUGCUGACUUAGGUCUCAAUAAAGCUAAAAAAUAAGGUGGCUCCUUCCAGCUUUGCGGGAACCUAACCGCUAGUCCCAUGAACUUACCCUCCUAGGUGUUGCAACCUUGAAUGUCUUUUAAGAGAGAGAUUUGUGAGAGAGCCUAAUCUUUUCCCUGCUUUUAAUCUACUCUCCUUCACCAAAUUGGACUAAAAUCGACGUUAAUGAAUUACAAUCUGAAAGUUUGUACCUUUCCCAUACAAUCUAAGGGGAGUUACCAGCACACCCCUUGCUCUAUCCUUGGAUAGUAGAAUCUGGUGUGAUGUGCCUCGCUGGGAGGAGUGGGUCAUUCCCUCGAGCAUACAGGUGACACACUCACAGGGUCUCUCACGUAUCCUCAGAAGGUGAUUUAUUUUUUUUUAAGAGGCGAAGUCUUGCUCUGUUGCCCAGGCUAGAUGUGAACUCCUGGGCUCAAGCCAUCCUCCUGCCUCAGCCUUCUGAGUAGCUGGGACUACAGGCAUGCACCACCACACCCAUCUAAUUUUUAAUGUAUUAAGAAGUAAUUUUAAAAUAUUAAUGAAA
rnacentral:lncRNA from 1 species